GAUGAACGCUAGCGGCAGGCCUAAUACAUGCAAGUCGAACGGUGUCUUCGGACAUAGUGGCGCACGGGUGCGUAACACGUAUGCAACCUACCUUACAUUGGGGGAUAGCCUUUCGAAAGGGAGAUUAAUACCGCAUAAGACAGUAGCUGGGCAUCCAGCAGCUGUUAAAGAUUUAUCGAUGUAAGCUGGGCAUGCGUCCAAUUAGCUAGUUGGUGAGGUAACGGCUCACCAAGGCAAUGAUUGGUAGGGGAACUGAGAGGUCAAUCCCCCACACUGGCACUGAGAUACGGGCCAGACUCCUACGGGAGGCAGCAGUAGGGAAUAUUGGGCAAUGGACGCAAGUCUGACCCAGCCAUGCCGCGUGCAGGAUGAAGGCGUUAUGCGUUGUAAACUGCUUCUAUACAGGAAGAAACGACCCUUGCGAGAGGCAUUGACGGUACUGUAUGAAUAAGCACCGGCUAACUCCGUGCCAGCCGCCGCCGUAAAAC
rnacentral:rRNA from 1 species